rnacentral:rRNA from 1 species
UACAGAGGGGGCAAGCGUUGUUCGGAAUUACUGGGCGUAAAGGGCGCGUAGGCGGCCUGCUAAGUCGAACGUGAAAUCCCUGGGCUCAACCCAGGAACUGCGUCCGAUACUGGUUGGCUUGAAUCCGGGAGAGGGAUGUGGAAUUCCAGGUGUAGCGGUGAAAUGCGUAGAUAUCUGGAGGAACACCGGUGGCGAAGGCGGCUCACUGGCCCGAUACUGACGCUGAGGCACGAAAGCGUGGGGAGCAAACAGG